UACGAAGGGGGCUAGCGUUGCUCGGAAUUACUGAGCGUAAAGCGCACGUAGGCGGAUUGUUAAGUCAGGGGUGAAAUCCUGGAGCUCAACUCCAGAACUGCCUUUGAUACUGAGAAGCUUGAGUCCGGGAGGGGUGAGUGGAACUGCGAGUGUAGAGGUGAAAUUCGUAGAUAUUCGCAAGAACACCAGUGGCGAAGGCGGCUCACUGGCCCGGUACUGACGCUGAGGUGCGAAAGCGUGGGGAGCAAACAGG
rnacentral:rRNA from 1 species